AACGAACGCUGGCGGCAGGCUUAACACAUGCAAGUCGAACGAAGUCUUCGGACUUAGUGGCGGACGGGUGAGUAACACGUGGGAACGUGCCUUUAGGUUCGGAAUAACUCAGGGAAACUUGUGCUAAUACCGAAUGUGCCCUUCGGGGGAAAGAUUUAUCGCCUUUAGAGCGGCCCGCGUCUGAUUAGCUAGUUGGUGAGGUAAAGGCUCACCAAGGCUACGAUCAGUAGCUGGUCUGAGAGGAUGACCAGCCACAUUGGGACUGAGACACGGCCCAAACUCCUACGGGAGGCAGCAGUGGGGAAUCUUGCGCAAUGGGCGAAAGCCUGACGCAGCCAUGCCGCGUGGAUGAUGAAGGUCUUAGGAUUGUAAAAUCCUCUCACCGGUGAAGAUAAUGACUGUAGCCGGAGAAGAAGCCCCGGCUAACUUCGUGCCAGCCGCCGCAGUAAGAC
rnacentral:rRNA from 1 species